rnacentral:tRNA from 1 species
GUCCUCGUAUUUCAAUGGAUAGAAUAUCUCCCUCCGAAGGAGACGAUGCGCGUUCGAUUCGCACCGAGGACA